AGUAGCAAUACUCCAGUCGAGCGGCGAACGGGUGAGUAACGCGUGGAUGACCUGCCCUUCAGCGGGGAAUAACCCGGGGAAACUCGGGCUAAUACCGCAUACGACCGAGAGGUGAAAGGGGCCCGCAAGGGUCUCACUGAAGGAGGGGUCCGCGUCCGAUUAGCUAGUUGGUAGGGUAAUGGCCUACCAAGGCGACGAUCGGUAGCCGGCCUGAGAGGGUGAUCGGCCACACUGGAACUGAGACACGGUCCAGACUCCUACGGGAGGCAGCAGUGGGGAAUUUUGCGCAAUGGGCGGAAGCCUGACGCAGCAACGCCGCGUGGAGGAUGAAGGUCCUUGGAUUGUAAACUCCUGUCAGCGGGGAAAAAGCGACUCGACCUCAUACGUCGGGGAGUUGAUUGUACCCGCAGAGGAAGCCCCGGUUAACUCUGUGCCAGCAGCCGCGGUAAUACAGAGGGGGCAAGCGUUAUUCGGAAUUAUUGGGCGUAAAGGGCGCGUAGGCGGCCUUGCAAGUGACGGGUGAAAUCCCUCGGCUUAACCGAGGAACUGCCUGUCAGACUGCAUGGCUUGAGACCGGGAGAGGUGAGUGGAAUUCCCAGUGUAGCGGUGAAAUGCGUAGAUAUUGGGAGGAACACCAGUGGCGAAGGCGGCUCACUGGACCGGUACUGACGCUGAGGCGCGAAAGCGUGGGUAGCAAACAGGAUUAGAUACCCUGGUAGUCCACGCCGUAAACGAUGAGUGCUUGGUGUAGCGGGUAUCGACCCCUGCUGUGCCGAAGUCAACACAUUAAGCACU
rnacentral:rRNA from 1 species